rnacentral:rRNA from 1 species
UAAUUUUUAUGGAGAGUUUGAUCCUGGCUCAGGAUGAACGCUGGCGGCGUGCCUAAUACAUGCAAGUCGAGCGAACGGACGAGAAGCUUGCUUCUCUGAUGUUAGCGGCGGACGGGUGAGUAACACGUGGAUAACCUACCUAUAAGACUGGGAUAACUUCGGGAAACCGGAGCUAAUACCGGAUAAUAUUUUGAACCGCAUGGUUCAAAAGUGAAAGACGGUCUUGCUGUCACUUAUAGAUGGAUCCGCGCUGCAUUAGCUAGUUGGUAAGGUAACGGCUUACCAAGGCAACGAUGCAUAGCCGACCUGAGAGGGUGAUCGGCCACACUGGAACUGAGACACGGUCCAGACUCCUACGGGAGGCAGCAGUAGGGAAUCUUCCGCAAUGGGCGAAAGCCUGACGGAGCAACGCCGCGUGAGUGAUGAAGGUCUUCGGAUCGUAAAACUCUGUUAUUAGGGAAGAACAUAUGUGUAAGUAACUGUGCACAUCUUGACGGUACCUAAUCAGAAAGCCACGGCUAACUACGUGCCAGCAGCCGCGGUAAUACGUAGGUGGCAAGCGUUAUCCGGAAUUAUUGGGCGUAAAGCGCGCGUAGGCGGUUUUUUAAGUCUGAUGUGAAAGCCCACGGCUCAACCGUGGAGGGUCAUUGGAAACUGGAAAACUUGAGUGCAGAAGAGGAAAGUGGAAUUCCAUGUGUAGCGGUGAAAUGCGCAGAGAUAUGGAGGAACACCAGUGGCGAAGGCGACUUUCUGGUCUGUAACUGACGCUGAUGUGCGAAAGCGUGGGGAUCAAACAGGAUUAGAUACCCUGGUAGUCCACGCCGUAAACGAUGAGUGCUAAGUGUUAGGGGGUUUCCGCCCCUUAGUGCUGCAGCUAACGCAUUAAGCACUCCGCCUGGGGAGUACGACCGCAAGGUUGAAACUCAAAGGAAUUGACGGGGACCCGCACAAGCGGUGGAGCAUGUGGUUUAAUUCGAAGCAACGCGAAGAACCUUACCAAAUCUUGACAUCCUUUGACAACUCUAGAGAUAGAGCCUUCCCCUUCGGGGGACAAAGUGACAGGUGGUGCAUGGUUGUCGUCAGCUCGUGUCGUGAGAUGUUGGGUUAAGUCCCGCAACGAGCGUAACCCUUAAGCUUAGUUGCCAUCAUUAAGUUGGGCACUCUAAGUUGACUGCCGGUGACAAACCGGAGGAAGGUGGGGAUGACGUCAAAUCAUCAUGCCCCUUAUGAUUUGGGCUACACACGUGCUACAAUGGACAAUACAAAGGGCAGCGAAACCGCGAGGUCAAGCAAAUCCCAUAAAGUUGUUCUCAGUUCGGAUUGUAGUCUGCAACUCGACUACAUGAAGCUGGAAUCGCUAGUAAUCGUAGAUCAGCAUGCUACGGUGAAUACGUUCCCGGGUCUUGUACACACCGCCCGUCACACCACGAGAGUUUGUAACACCCGAAGCCGGUGGAGUAACCUUUUAGGAGCUAGCCGUCGAAGGUGGGACAAAUGAUUGGGGUGAAGUCGUAACAAGGUAGCCGUAUCGGAAGGUGCGGCUGGAUCACCUCCUUUCUAAG